UGAACUCCAGCAUAUUAUACU
rnacentral:miRNA from 1 species